rnacentral:rRNA from 1 species
UACGUAGGUGGCGAACGUUAUCCGGAAUUAUUGGGCGUAAAGGAUGCGUAGAUGGUGUAGUAAGUUAUCGGUGGCAAAUCGAGGCUCAACCUCGUGGAAGUCGGUAAUACUGCUAUGCUAGAGGAUAGGAGAGGUUAACGGAACUCCCUGUGGAGCGGUGAAAUGCGUAGAUAUAGGGAAGAACACCAAUCAGGCGAAGGCAGUUAACUAGUCUAUUCCUGACAUUGAGGCAUGAAAGCGUGGGGAGCAAAACGG